rnacentral:misc_RNA from 1 species
AACUCCUCUAAAGUCAUCUCCCCUAAAGUUUGCUGCCUCUGGGGCAAAUUAACUGCUCCAGUAACAGCCCCAUUCCCAUAUUCCUUCGAUAUGUCUUUCCACACCUCAUCCACUGUCUUUUGACUAAUGGUACGCGGCAGGGUCAAAGAGCCUUGGCGCUGCAGACCCUCUUGGGCAACAGUAGAGGAGGCUACCAUGUUCUGUGUUUCCUCUGCAGUCCAUAUAUUCUUGAGCAGCUCAUCCAUGUUCAUAGACCCAAAGUCCUUUCCUAUACCCCCCACGGUGCUCUGAAAUUCAUCGAAGGUCAACGAGUAGAUGGAUGGCUGUCUGGCCAAUGAAAAGUUCCCCGGCGGGCGGCUACCGCUGCCCCCUCCACCACCAGCGUCCGACGAAUGGUCGUUGGGGAAGUUCUUGAAGUUGAUAUUAGUCCCCAUUUCGUUAAUAUCGUUAAUAUAUAUACAUAUAUUUCUCUUUGAUUUUGGUGGCUGCUUUGUCUGCUGUUUAUGGGUCCUUUCUUCUUCGAGAAUUUAGGUAAUGG